rnacentral:misc_RNA from 1 species
GCAUCACUCUCCUAAAAUUCAAGCAUAUGGUCCACAAACAAGACUCUCAAGAUUGUCAUGUAAAUAACAUAUAACUUUUACAAACAACAUUCAAAACAAAUGACCGUGUAAGCAAAAUAAAAUUGAAAAGUUAUUUUUUCUCUGUAUCUGGACGACACCAAGUUGAUCUCUUGAUCAAUCAUUCAUGACAACUCGGUAUCUGUAUAUAUAGACUGAAUGCAACGCUUCCAUAGAUUAUUUUCACGAGCCAAAAGCAAAUUUCAUGUCGAAAAUGCUAGCAAAACUAAUAGUUUGGCUAGCCAGAACUGACUUCACCUAUCGAGCAUCGUUGGAUGU